rnacentral:rRNA from 1 species
AUGCUAAAGCAUCCGCGAAAACGGCCGCACAAGAAGCUCGGGGAGUACUUCAAUGGAGGGGGAGUCGGAUACAAGCUCAAUCAUAGGAAAAGUGCAGAGAGACACGGAGUAAGACACGGCCCAAGGCUUAGAAGCACUUGCGGUGGACGAUCGAGGGGCCAGAUUCAUCGUACUCUCCCUUGGAUAUCCACCUGCUGGAAUGUGCUGAGGGAGGCAAGGAUGGAGCCACCGAUCCAGACACUGUACUUCCUCUCUGGAGGCGCCACGACCUUAAUCUUCAUGCUGCUCGGCGCGAGGGCGGUGAUCUCCUUGCUCAUCCUGUCUGCAAUGCCGGGGAACAUGGUCGUCCCUCCACUGAGCACAAUGUUGCCGUACAGGUCCUUCCUGAUAUCCACGUCGCACUUCAUGAUGGAGUUGUAG